UAGGGAUUUUCAUCCUACAGAUAAAGUACACUGGCGGAAUCAAACCACUGUUACAACUGUAGGUUUUACUUUUAACCACCCCUUGGUUUAUUUUGUGUGUUGCUUGAGUGUUUUGUGUGUGGUUAUAAAUACAAUUUGAAAAUAUGGGGAAAAAAUUCAAAAAGUUGCCAUAUAAUAAUAAUAGUAUAGGUAAUAUAAUAAUUACAUAUUGUGUGAAAAGAUUGAUUGCUAAUGGUUUGUUUAUAUUUUCUUUGUUGAAGCUCAGUGCAUAGACUGCAGUUUUUGGCAAUUCUCAACAAGGAAAGAAAACUUGAAACGUACAGCAACCAAGAUACAGAUAUUAGCAGUUAUUGAAUAUGUACAGAUGCCCUUAAAGUUUUUGAUGAAGUAAAGAGCAAGAUACUAUCUUAUCCAGCAGUGAUACGGUAUGACCAAUUCCCAGACAAUAUGACAAAGAAUAACAAUUGGACACCAACAGUUCACAUAUGAGAAGAUGUUUUUAGGACUUCAUGUAUGUACAGGAGCUUCUAAGGAGGAAUUGAAAAGAAGAUUGCAUUCGAUCGAUCUCCUUAACUUGCUAUAAAGAUGAUUUCCUUUUAUUGAAUAAUUCAAAGUAUGGUGACUUUGUUGAACGCAUGUAUCCCAUUGAACUUGAAAUAAAGGAUACAACAGAUACAGGUGAAUCCUUGCUGGGUCAUUGAAAAACCUACUGGAAGUUCUUCUGAUACUGGAAAUUGAAAACAAAUGGUCAUUUUUGGAAGAAAAUUGAUAGAGGAAAGAUACAGAUAUACAAGAAUUUCAUAUUUGAAAUGCUUUUAAUAUUUCUUUUGUAUAUGACCACCAAAUUUUGGCACAAAUAAGGCCAAUUGAAAUUAAUUGAUAGAUUUUCAUCCCGCCCGACCCUCUGAAAUCGUCCCGCCCCGAUUUUUUUAAUUUUUAAAAAUAUACGAUUUCCGGAUUUUGUUCAUUUCUGUUACCGGUAACCGCCGAUAAUUUCGUUUCAUUUAAACUUCCUUUUUCAAAUUUCGGUUUUCGUAUUUCUUCGAGUAAUAUAAGUCGACAUAGUCUUCUGCUCAAUGAUGACAACAUUAUCUUUUGAGAAUAUAGAUUGAUUACUAGAAGGACAUAAAUUAUUCGGGUUACAAGUAAUUGGCGGUGUCCAAGAACCGUAAUCGCGGUAUGUCACAAAUUUCAGUGAAUAUAAAACCGUGAAUUAUUUUAUUUAUACAAUGACAUUGUGUAAGGAAAUUUAGACUGAAUGAUAUCCAAAGCGCAAAAAUCAUGGAACACAUUGAUACAAAAUCAUGACUGGAAUAAAGAAAUUAACAGAAGCACGAACCGUGCGAUUUAUGACCGUAUAUUGAGUACAAAGAGUCGGCCAACGUACAAAAUGUAUUAUAGCUGCCAUGGCUUAGAUUUACCUCCAAGGCUGUCGUUUCAGCCCUUCAAUAGAGUUAUAAAACAACUUUUUCUUUUUGGUUCAGUUCAUGUUUUACAUUGUAAUUAUAUUUGCACCUUGCAUAAGAAUCUUAAAAGCAUGAACCCUAGUAUUUUCAACACAGUUUGAGUUUUCAUUUCACUCUGUACUCAUAAUAUUUGUGUUGCAUACCAAUGCAUAUGCUUCAUUUUAUGGGCACUAUAAAUCACAACUUAGAAAGCAAAAAAUGAUCUAUGUAAUCUAAAAGAGAACAUUUUUCCACGUUUUUGCUAUUUACUGAAAAUCGGUUUCUAAAGCGGCAAUUACAUGUAGAACAAUGGUUGCCAAUCGGAAAUAUUGAUUUAAGAAUUUUAAAAAAAUGUAGAAUUCCUUAUAUAAACAUGAUGUAAGCUUAUUAUUACCCUUGUACAUUGUGUAAAUGAACAACACGUCUCAAAAUGGUUUAGGAGGAAAUUUAAAAUUAAAAAAAUAAAAUCCGUCUACCCGCCCCAUUUUUUUCAAAAAUCUGCAUGAAAAUCUACUAAUUAAUUUUAGUUGGCCUAAUGGUAUCAUUGUUAUCUUUGCCAUAUAAACAAAUAUACCUGGUAAAAUUUGUUCAUUAGAGGAAACUUUAAUUACAAAUAUCUAUUCACAUUAGAUGAUUUUUUUACCAAUUUUCUAAUUUUAAAAAUAAAUCAAUUGUUUUUAUUCUGUGGGAUUCAAAAUGUUUUGCCAUUUAUGAUAAUCUAUUUAUUUUGAUUUGUCUGAAGUACAUUUCACAAAAAUUUCAAAUUCAAAAUAAGGCACCUACAGUGCAUACUCCAUCACAAAUUGAGGUAAUGUUAGUAUUGAUUCUGUGGUAAAUUUUUUGCAUUCAUUAUUUUAAUGUGGUCAACAUAUUGCUAGGUCAUCAUAUUAGUGUGUCCAGCAUAUCGUGGAUUCAUAAACAGUAUUGAGUGCAAAUUAGCAUAAAUAUUUCAGAGUUGUUGUCAAUUUAUGCUCUACAUAAUUUUUUAUUUUGGUUAUUAUUAUUAUUAUUCACAGUUGUUGUGCAUCAUAGUUUUAGCUCACCUGGCCCAAAGGGCCAAGUGAGCUUUUCUCAUCACUUGGCGUCCGUCGUCGUUAACUUUUACAAAAAUCUUCUCUGAACCUACAAUCAUCAUUGGGGUAUCUAGUUUAAAAAAUGUGUCCGGUGACCCGGCCAACCAACCAAGAUGGCCGCCAUGGCUAAAAAUAGAACAUAGGGGUAAAAUGUAGAUUUUGGCUUAUAUCUCUGAAACCAAAGCGUUUAGAGCAAAUCUGACAUAGUAAAAUUGUUUAUCAGGUCAAGAUCUAUCUGCCCUGAAAUUUUCAGAUGAAUCGACCAACCCGUUGUUGGGUUGCUGCCCCUGAAUUGGUAAUUUUAAGGAAAUUUUGCCGUUUUUGGUUAUUAUCUUGAAUAUUAUUUUAGAUAGAGAUAAACUGUAAACAGCAAUAAUGUUCAGCAAAGUAAGAUCUACAAAUAAGUCAACUUGACCAAAAUGGUCAGUUGACCCCUUAAGGAGUUAUUGCCCUUUAUAGUCAAUUUUUAACCAUUUUUCGUAAAUUUUUGUAAUCUUUUACAAAAAUCUUCUCCUCUAAAACUACUAAGACAAAUUUAACCAAACUUGUCCACAAUCAUCAUUAGGGUAUAUAGUUUAAAAAAUGUGUCCGAUGACCCCGCCCGCGAACCAAGAUGGCCGACAUGGCUAAAAAAUAGUACAUAGGGUAAAAUGCAGUUUUUGGCUCAUAUCUCUGAAACCAAAGCUUUAGAGCAAAUCUGAUGAAGAUAAAAUUGUUCAUUAGGUCAAGAUCUAUCUGCCCUGAAAUUUUCAGACCAAUCAGGCAUCACGUUGUUGGGUUGCUGCCCCUGAAUUGGUAAUUUUAAGAAAAUUUUGCAGCUUUUGGUUAUUAUCUUGAAUAUUAUUAUAGAUAGAGAUAAACUGUAAACAGCAAUAAUGUACAGCAAAGUUAGAUCUACAAAUGAGUCAACAUGACCAAAAUUGUCAAUUGACCCCUUAAGGAGUUGUUGCCCUUUAUACUAAAUUUUUUUGCAAUUUUCAUAAAUUUUGUAAAUUUUUGUAAAUUUUUACAAAAUAUUUUCCACUGUAACUACCGGGCCAAGUUCAUUAUAGAUAGAGAUAAUUGUAAGCAGCAAGAAUGUUCAGUAAAGUAAGAUCUACAAACACAUCACUAUCACCAAAACACAAUUUUGUCAUGAAUCCAUCUGUGUCCUUUGUUUAAUAUGCACAUAGACCAAGGUGAGCGACACAGGCUCUUUAGAGCCUCUAGUUUAGAAAUGUCUUCUUAUAACAGGAUUUUACCAAAAACUUAUAUAUAGAUGUAUUAAGAAAAAUUUAUUAACUUGUAUUAGGACAUCAGCAAAAAAUGAUAAAUAAUAUAGGCCUAUUAUGUAUUCCAUGGGACAGAUUUUGUUUUAGUCCAUUUUUGUAUAAAUGUUGCACCUUUAUUUUAUCUUUUUCUAGAUUUUAUAUGUGGCUCCACUCCUCACCCAUUGACAUGCUGGUUAAAAAGUAAAGAACACUAUAUAUAUAUAUAUAUAUAUACAAGUCUAAAUUGAAAUAUAUAUAUAUAUAUAUAUGAAUAUUUCAGCAAAUUAUGGUGGCAAAUCUGUUAAUUUUUUUAGAAUAGUCAUAAAUUUUGCCAAAUUAUGCAAAAAAUAUUGUUUUAACAAAAACCCACAUACAUUUUAAUGGAAUAGCCCUCACAAACUUUCAUUGCUUAUUAGCAUAGAUGCAAUAAGAACAUUAACUAGUUGAUUUAUAAAUUGUAAUGUUUGUGACUCAUGAUGACUGAAAUGACAUUGUAUGAAAUAAAGUUUGUGCCAAAAAACA